GCCUGGGUGGCUCAGUCGGUUAAGCCUCUGACUUUGGCUCAGGUCACGAUCUCGCAGUUCGUGGGUUCGAGCCCCGCGUCGGGCU
rnacentral:tRNA from 1 species